GACGUAGGAUGCAAGCGUUGUCCGGAAUUAUUGGGCGUAAAGAGUUCGUAGGCGGUUUCUUAAGUCUGGCGUUAAAGCCCGGAGCUCAACUCCGGCAUGGCGUUGGAAACUGGGAGGCUGAGAGUGUGGUAGAGGUCUCGGGAAUUCCAGGUGGUAGCGGUGAAAUGCGUAGAUAUCUGGAGGAACACCGGUGGCGAAAGCGCGAAGACUGGGCCAUAACGUGACGCUGAGGAACGAAAGCCAGGGGAGACGAAAGGG
rnacentral:rRNA from 1 species